GAGGAGCGGCGGCGCGCUGCGGCCGCGAAGACGCGGAUUGAGGCGAAGAUCCAGGCCGCCCAGGCGGCCCAGGCUACAGAGCAGCGAUGAGCUGCGCACUGAGCGGAGGGGGG
rnacentral:SRP_RNA from 1 species